rnacentral:rRNA from 1 species
CCUACGGGAGGCAGCAGUGAGGAAUAUUUUUCCAUUUCCUUCCUUCUUCCCCCUCCCCUUCUCGUUAUUGACGACUGCCCUAUGGGUUGUAAACCUCUUUUAUAAGGGAAGAAUAAAUGCUACGUGUAGCAUGAUGCCUGUACCUUAUGAAUAAGCAUCGGCUAACUCCGUGCCAGCAGCCGCGGUAAUACGGAGGAUGCGAGCGUUAUCCGGAUUUAUUGGGUUUAAAGGGUGCGUAGGCGGUUUUUUAAGUUAGUGGUUAAACGUCGGGGCUUCACCUUGAUUUGCCAUUAAUACUGUAAGACUCGAGUUCAGACGAGGUAGGCGGAAUAAGUUAAGUAGCGGUGAAAUGCUUAGAUAUAACUUAGAACUCCGAUAGCGAAGGCAGCUUACCAGACUGCGACUGACGCUGAAGCACGAGAGCGUGGGUAGCGAACAGGAUUAGAUACCCUUGUAGUC